rnacentral:rRNA from 1 species
GAAAUUGAACUCGCUGUGAAGAUGCAGUGUACCCGCGGCAAGACGGAAAGACCCCGUGAACCUUUACUAUAGCUUGACACUGAACAUUGAGCCUUGAUGUGUAGGAUAGGUGGGAGGCUUUGAAGUGUGGACGCCAGUCUGCAUGGAGCCGACCUUGAAAUACCACCCUUUAAUGUUUGAUGUUCUAACGUUGACCCGUAAUCCGGGUUGCGGACAGUGUCUGGUGGGUAGUUUGACUGGGGCGGUCUCCUCCUAAAGAGUAACGGAGGAGCACGAAGGUUGGCUAAUCCUGGUCGGACAUCAGGAGGUUAGUGCAAUGGCAUAAGCCAGCUUGACUGCGAGCGUGACGGCGCGAGCAGGUGCGAAAGCAGGUCAUAGUGAUCCGGUGGUUCUGAAUGGAAGGGCCAUCGCUCAACGGAUAAAAGGUACUCCGGGGAUAACAGGCUGAUACCGCCCAAGAGUUCAUAUCGACGGCGGUGUUUGGCACCUCGAUGUCGGCUCAUCACAUCCUGGGGCUGAAGUAGGUCCCAAGGGUAUGGCUGUUCGCCAUUUAAAGUGGUACGCGAGCUGGGUUUAGAACGUCGUGAGACAGUUCGGUCCCUAUCUGCCGUGGGCGCUGGAGAACUGAGGGGGGCUGCUCCUAGUACGAGAGGACCGGAGUGGACGCAUCACUGGUGUUCGGGUUGUCAUGCCAAUGGCACUGCCCGGUAGCUAAAUGCGGAAGAGAUAAGUGCUGAAAGCAUCUAAGCACGAAACUUGCCCCGAGAUGAGUUCUCCCUGACUCCUUGAGAGUCCUGAAGGAACGUUGAAG